rnacentral:misc_RNA from 1 species
AAGACUAUAGACCUGCGGAGUACCUGCGGAGGGAUCAUUAACACAAAUGAUAAACUUUUAUUAUUAUUUUUAGUUUAGUUGAAAGACUUGCUAAAAAUAAUAAUAUUACCACAAUGGAAAAUGUUAAAGUCUCUUAAUAAUAUUAUUAUUAAGAACUUUUCUUUUCAUAACAAAAAAACCAUUAAAACCAUUAGAUUCAUUUUAUUGAUUAUAUCAAUAAUAAUCCUAAAAAAAACACAA